rnacentral:lncRNA from 1 species
UUCCUGGCCAACGGAAGUACACGCAGUCAGCGCCUUGGAGGCUGAACUGGUGGGGCAAGGCCCUGGGUGCCAGCAGCCAUCUUGAAGCAUUCUUGCCUCAAGCCAAAAGUGCUUCUGGGAAUGUGGUGGCCGGCACUGACGGCGAAUGAGCUGGAGCAUUUGUUUGCAAGUUCCUCGGCCUUGGCUUCCGGGAUGGUCGUCCUGUUCAACUCUCUUUUUCACUUUUCUAUUGAGCUUCCAGCAGUCCCCCUCUAUCACAGUUUCGCUUUCGGAGGUUUCAGUUACUUGCAGUCAACCCCGGUGUGAAAAUAGUGAUUCCAUAAAUGGUCAUUAUAAAAGAAACUGCAGAAAUGAAAAAAGCUGUCCAUCAUAAUUAAAGGCCAGGUUGGCACUGAUCACAAUCUACGUGUACUUCAGGAUGAAUACAUGACCAACAAUCUUGUCUGGCUCUCCUCCUGUGGAUUAUUUGAUUGAAUGACUUUCAAAGCCUGUCUUUGUUUUGUGUUGCUAUAAAGGAAUAUCUAAGACUGGGUAAUAACUUACAAAGGAAAAAAGGGUUUAUUUGGCUCACAAUACUCAUGUCUGGAAAAGUUGAAGACUGGGCAUCUGGUGACGGCCUCAGGCUGCUCCCACUCAUGGUGAAAAGCAAAGUGGAGUGUCAUGUGCAAGAGAUCACAUGGUAGGAGGGGAAGCAAGAGAGAGAUUGGGGACGUGCCAGGUUCUUUUUAACAACCAGUUCUCAAAGGACCCAGCUGAGCGAGAACUCACUUACCCCUGAGAAAGUUCAUCAAUUUACUCAUGAGGGAAGCACCCCCGCCCUACCUCCAACAAUGGGAUCAAAGUCCAACAUUAGCCUUGGGGGACAAUCAUUCAAACUUUUGCAGCCUAUCACUAUUUUCAGUUCUUCCACUUAGACAUGUCUUUGCUCAAAAAGAUAUGGCCAAAAAGAGAAGGGGACUCUCAACCUUAUUCCUCAUCCCACACUCCCCAACAUGGACAUUUCUGGCACUCUUAGAUUAAACCUGGCACUCCUUGACUAAAUCUAGAUGUUAAACAUUGUUUACUCUGGGCUAGUGUCAUGUUUUCAACUAUUUUUAACUAUUACCUUGUUUGAUAAGCAAACAAUAAACCUUCAUUCCAGAUGUCCAGAGAGAUCAUUUUUUAGGUCUAUCAUUUUCUCACCCUUAGUUGAGAAUUCUUGCCCAAGGCAUAUUGAUCUGAGAUGCUGAAUUCUCCAGAUGAUACCAAAGAGUAAAAAGCUAAGAUUCAUUGCAUUGCAUCACAGUUGUCCAACAUUCAAGACAAAAGUUUGAUCGCUAGAAUAUUUGAUCACCUGAUCCUAAGUUAUUUUUUUAAAAAUUAUUACUACUACCAUCAUAUGUAUCAUUACAUAUAAUGAUGUAUCCGUAUAAUGAUGUAUAAUGUAAUGAUGUAUAAUAAUGUAUGAUGUAAUGAUGUAUAGUGAUGAUAGGUGGCCUUCCCUAGUCCAGAAACUUUUUUGGGUUUGUACUGAAUAUUCU